rnacentral:rRNA from 1 species
CAAUAGCGUAUAUUUAAGUUGUUGCAGUUAAAAAGCUCGUAGUCGGAUUUUGGCUGAGAACGAUCGGUCCGCCGUUAGGUGUGCACUGAUUGGUCUCAGCUUCCUGGUGAGGAGGUGUGCUUCACGGCCACUUAGUCACCGUGGUUACUUUGAAAAAAUUAGAGUGUUCAAAGCGGGCUUACGCUUGAAUAUAUUAGCAUGGAAUAACACCAUAGGACUCCUGUCCUAUUUCGUUGGUCUCGGGACGGGAGUAAUGAUUAAGAGGAACAGUUGGGGGCAUUCGUAUUUCAUUGUCAGAGGUGAAAUUCUUGGAUUUAUGAAAGACGAACUUCUGCGAAAGCAUUUGCCAAGGAUGUUUCAUUGA